rnacentral:rRNA from 1 species
AUUGAACGCUGGCGGCAGGCCUCACACAUGCAAGUCGAACGAGGGGCGGACGGGUGAGUAAUGUAUGGGAAACUGCCUGAUGGAGGGGGAUAACUACUGGACACGGGAGCUAAUACCGCAUACCAUAAAAUGUGCCCAGAAGGGAUUAGCUCGUUGGUGGGGUAACUGCUCACCAAGGCGACGAACCCUAGCUGGUCUGAGAGGAUGACCAGCCACACUGGAACUUAUACACGUUCCAUAAUCCUACGGUAGGCAGCAGGGGGGAAUCUUGCACAAUGGGCGCAAGCCUGAUGCAGCCAUGCCGCGUGUAUGCAGAAGGCCUGCGGGGUGUAAAGUACUUUCAGCGGGGAAGCGUUACCCGCAGAAGAAGCACCUGCUAACUCCGUGCCAGCAGCCGCGGUAAUAC